AUGCAAACGUGCCUCCUCCCCCUCUUCCUCCUCCUCGCCUUGUGGCCACCGACGGCGAGCGUUGACGCUGCCUCUACGGUGAGCCCGCUGAAACCAAUUUGCAACCUGACCGCCGGCACGUACACGGCAGACAGCAGCUACGGGUCCAACCUGCAGGAUCUCGGAGUGACCUUGGCCAGGGAUGCCGGUGCGUCAGGCUUCGCCAAGGCCAGCUCCGGCGAGGCGCCCGACAAGGUCUACGGUGAAGUGCUCUGCCGCGGUGACUACACCGGCACCAAGUGCACCGACGGCCUCACAGCCGCCUUCCUGGACCUGGACAUGCUCUGCCUAACCAGGAGCGCCGUCGUCUACUAUGACCAGUACAUGCUCCGCUUCACUGACGACGAGCAGUCCCUGUCGAGCGUCAGCAAUGAACCGGAAUGGUCCGCGGAUAACAUGAACUCGGUCAAGGGCACCGAGGCGGCGGAGAAGUUGCUGGAGAGGGUAGUGAAGCUGAUGAACAGCAUGGCCGACCUGGCCACCUCCGGCAGCCCCAGAUCAACCAGCCAGCUGUAUGCGACCGGCGAGGCGGGGUUCGGCGAGCAGGGCGUGAUCGCGGUGUAUGGUAUGGUGCAGUGCAAGCUGGAGCUCACGGGGCCACAGUGCAAGAGCUGCCUUGACAGCAUCAUCGGGCAGAUGAGGAAGCUGUUCAGCAACGACAGCAGCCAGGGCCAGCCCUCUUCAUUCCUCAUCGGGGGCAGGCUCAUUGGAGUUCGGUGUAAUCUGCGAUACGAGAAGGAACUCUUCUUCGAGGAGACAAAGGACACUAUCAAGAUCGACAUGCCGAAAAGUACGUGUUGCAUCACUGCUUAA
rnacentral:rRNA from 1 species